rnacentral:lncRNA from 1 species
CCCACUGAGAGUUUUGGUUCGAAUUAGAGGCUAAAUCGACUCGAGGCUCGAGCCAAAAUUUUCCCUUUUUUUAUUCAUAAAACUUCCCAAGUAACCAUCCAGCACUAGCAAAAAGUCAGAAAUCGGCAACAGAUUGGCAUUCCAUUGCUAAUUAGUCAUGCAACAGCAUUUACAAAUGCAAUUCAGCACUAAUUCAACUGCACUGUCCAAAGCUGAAUAAAUGCUGUUUAAGUGCAACUGCUAGCAACACUGUCAUACGUUUUUCCAUCAAACUAGCAACAUUGUUCUCAUUCUGAGAGAAGAGUGAAAGAGAUAGUGCGAGAAAACAACAACCUUCUCACUUUCUCGCUUUGCACCAAAAAAUAAACAAUGAUUGAAAGCUGUCGAAGCCAGCCGGCUCAAAACCUUUUUCAUCUCGCUUUGCAUCAUCAUCAUCCUCCUAACACGUACCAGUGCCAUUCCACCUUGUUGGUUGACCGCAACAAUAAACCGCAUGCAGAAAUGGCGUUUUUGUCCUGCUGGUGGGUCCGGAUUCCCCCGCCGAACUAAGCGGGCGGCGGACAUUUAAUUAGAUCUCUUCAAGCCAGUUCAAUCAGAAAGGCUUUCAAAAUUGUAUGUGGUAAUUAGAUUAUUAUAUUUUUUCAUGAAUAAAAGACAUCUUUAGACCAUCGUCAAAAA